UACGUAGGGCGCAAGCGUUGUCCGGAAUUAUUGGGCGUAAAGAGCUCGUAGGCGGCCUGUUACGUCUGCUGUGAAAUCCCGGGGCUUAACCCCGGGCGUGCAGUGGAUACGGGCAGGCUGGAGGCAGGCAGGGGAGAACGGAAUUCCCAGUGUAGAGGUGAAAUUCGUAGAUAUUGGGAAGAACACCGGUGGCGAAGGCGGCGACCUGGUCCUUUUACUGACGCUGAGGCGCGAAAGCGUGGGUAGCAAACAGG
rnacentral:rRNA from 1 species